rnacentral:rRNA from 1 species
GACGAACGCUGGCGGCGUGCCUAAUACAUGCAAGUAGAACGCUGAAGAGAGGAGCUUGCUCUUCUUGGAUGAGUUGCGAACGGGUGAGUAACGCGUAGGUAACCUGCCUUGUAGCGGGGGAUAACUAUUGGAAACGAUAGCUAAUACCGCAUAACAAUGGAUGACACAUGUCAUUUAUUUGAAAGGGGCAAUUGCUCCACUACAAGAUGGACCUGCGUUGUAUUAGCUAGUAGGUGAGGUAAUGGCUCACCUAGGCGACGAUACAUAGCCGACCUGAGAGGGUGAUCGGCCACACUGGGACUGAGACACGGCCCAGACUCCUACGGGAGGCAGCAGUAGGGAAUCUUCGGCAAUGGGGGCAACCCUGACCGAGCAACGCCGCGUGAGUGAAGAAGGUUUUCGGAUCGUAAAGCUCUGUUGUAAGUCAAGAACGGGUGUGAGAGUGGAAAGUUCACACUGUGACGGUAGCUUACCAGAAGGGGACGGCUAACUACGUG